CGUAUGUUUUUUCUUUUUAAUGUCUACUAUAAUCAUAUUUUUUACACCAUUUUUCAUUAUAUUAUACUCUCUUUUUUAACAGUCAUUAUAUUAUCAAUACCCUUUUAUAGAUUAUGCAAUCUUGUUAAUAAAUAGCUUAAUUAAGCAAUUAUAUCAUAGUAAAACAAAGUCAAAUUCUUUGCAUAUAUAUAAAGCUAUAAGGUGUUGUGAUAAGUUAUUUCAUAAGUUGUUUUCAUUUUUUUUUUCAACAAUGUCACAAAUACUUACAUCAGUAGAUAAAUUCAAAUAAGUCAAUUCAAGUCUUAUCAAUACAACAAGGUAAACAUGUCAAUAUACACUAUUUUUUGUUAUUUUAUUUUUCAAACUACAUAAGUAUUAUGAAAUGAUAUAGUAUUAUGAUCAAGUGGUGUACAAAAAAACUUUUUUCUUUGGGUAUACCAUCAUUAAUUCUUUACCCUUGUUUUUUACUUUAUACUAUAAUAGAACUAUACUCAUUUAAUUUGAUCAUUAUUUUUUCUUUCUCAUGCUUGCUAGUAAAGUAAUAGACUGUGUGUGUUUUAGACUUUUAGCUAACUUUAGUAUUGAUUCUUCAAGGACAUAAUUUUUGACAUCUUGGA
rnacentral:lncRNA from 1 species